UUGUCCUUGUUUUUAUCCUUUUAGUUCGAUCUGCGUAAUGCGUGCGUAAUGAGGGACUAAUUGCCUUUUCCACUGUUAUUUCUCCUACUAUCAGCAGCUCAACUCUGUCUCACAGGCUGGUGAGGGUGGUCUUGGUGGUGCAUGAAGCACUCUUGCUGUGUCUUGAUGAAGCUUUUCCUCCUGUGGCGCUCUCAGUCGGUUGAUUUGUGUUGUCUGGGAGGUUUCAGCAUCUUGUAGCUCCGCCCUCGAUUACCCAGCCUGGGCGACGUGCUGUUGCUGCGCAGCGUGUGAAGGCAGAAGCGUCCGACUCUGCUCGGAGGGAGACUGGAGCAGCUCAGAUCAGUGUUGUUGUUGUUGCAGAAAAUACCUUCGCUCCAGUUUCACACAUUUCAACCUCUAGGUUUAAAAAAAAUCACCGCAGUAUUUUCUCAGGUUUGACCAAAAAGAGGAACCGCUCCAGAGAAGGAUAUAAACAGAUUUUUUUUUCCUUCAGCACACACCAACACACACACACUGUGAGAAGUUUGUGCGCGGCGGAGUUUGGAGAGUUGGGCUGACUGAUCUAGCCUGGCUGCCCGCUGUGAUCCCCUCCUGCCCCGGUCAGCCAGCCGUAAGUUAGCCCGCUGUCCUGGUCUUCUUCCAGCUGUUGUAAAUCAUGGCGCUCAGAGCCAGGGCGCUGUACGACUUCAACUCUGAAAACCCAGGGGAGGUGUCGGUGAGAGAGAAUGAAAUCCUAACUUUGUACAGCGAGCAGGACAUUGACGGCUGGUUUGAGGGGGCGAACAGCAAAGGAGAGAGGGGACUGUUCCCCGCGUCCUACGUGGAGAUCCUGAGGAACGGCGCCGCCUCCACGCUCAACAACAACAGCUGCAGCACAUCUGGGGACACUUACCCGGACUCCCGAUACGCAAACAUCCCAUCCGGAGGGUUUGACGGUUCUUAUAAGCCUCCAGCUAAAGUUGAGAACUUUUCUAAGCCGACCUCUCCAGGUUUCAUUGCUUUCCCACAACAACAGCAGCAGCAGCAGCAGCAGCAGACGUACCAGCAGCCCAGCCAAGGGAGCGAUGAUGACUGGGAUGAUGACUGGGAUGACAGCUCUACUGUCGCAGAUGAGCCAGGCACUGUAGGAGGAAGGUAUCAUGACUAUGAAGGCAAUGGGCCAUCCACUUACAGAGUGUCAACAUCAAUGUCAAGAGGUAAUGCACAGCAGGCGAAGAGCUCUGCCACAGUCAGUAGAAACCUGAACAGGUUUUCAACCUUCGUGAAGUCUGGAGGUGAGGCGUUUGUGCUCGGGGAGGCUUCUGGUUUUGUGAAGGAUGGGGAUAAGAUCUGUGUGGUGAUGGGUCAGUAUGGUCCAGAGUGGCAGGAGAACCCGUACCCCUUCGCUUGCACAAUUGAUGACCCCACUAAACAGACCAAAUUCAAGGGCAUGAAGAGCUACAUCUCCUAUAAGCUGACACCCACCCACACGCAGAACCAGGUGAACAGAAGGUAUAAGCACUUUGACUGGCUGUACGCUCGGCUGGUGGAGAAAUUUCCCGUUAUCUCAGUGCCACACAUCCCGGAGAAGCAGGCCACGGGGCGCUUUGAGGAGGACUUCAUCUCCAAGAGGAGGAAAGGCCUCAUAUGGUGGAUGAACCACAUGACCAGUCACCCUGUCCUGGCCAGGUGUGAUGUAUUCCAGCACUUCCUCACCUGUAACAGCACAGACGAGAAGGCCUGGAAGCAGGGUAAGAGGAAGGCGGAGAAGGACGAGAUGGUCGGAGCCAACUUUUUCCUCACGAUCAGCACCCCUGCAGCCCCGCUCGACUUUCAGGAGGUUGAAAGUAAAAUAGAUGGCUUCAAGACUUUCACCAAAAGGAUGGACGACAGCGCCUUGCAGCUUAACGCCACUGUCAAUGAGUUUGCCCGCAAGCAGAUCAGUGGCUUUAAGAAGGAGUAUCAGAAAGUGGGGCUGUCAUUCAAAGUCCUCAGCCAGGCCUUUGAAAUGGACCAGCAAGCGUACUCUGCUGGACUCAACCAGGCUAUCUCCUUCACUGGGGAGGCGUAUGAAUCCAUCGGAGAGUAUUUUGCUGAGCAGCCCAGCAAGGAUCUGGACCCAAUCAUGGAUUUGUUAGGUCUUUACCAAGGACACCUGGCAAACUACCCAGACAUCAUCCACGUGCAGAAAGGAGCCCUGACGAAGGUGAAAGAGAGCCAGAAGCAUGUGGAGGAGGGCAAGAUGGACCGGGCACAGGCGGAAGGCAUCGACGAGCGCUGCAACAUCAUCUCAUGUGCCACGCUGGCCGAGAUCCAGCACUUCCACCAGAUCCGCGUCCGUGACUUCAAGGCACAGAUGCAGCACUACCUACAGCAGCAGAUCACCUUCUUCCAAAAAAUCACAGGCAAGCUAGAGGAGGCUCUGCAGAAAUAUGACAACGCGUAAUAGAUGGCUUGUCUCAGCCCUUCGGCUUAGACCGUGGUGAUCCAUGACCAUGCACCUCCCCCGGCCUGCCACUGGAGUUUUUGGCAAACAACAGCCAGUACCGCAUACUGCUGAAUGCUGUUCAUCCAGCAGGGAGGGACAUUGAAGGAGAUUACGCUUGAGUAAUAAUGACAUUUCUACCAAAUCCAGGUUUCCGUGUGUGUUGGACACAUUAUCUGGUGACUAGAUGUUCAUGGUUAAGAGAGGAGAUGUAAUUUAAUGAAGAUAAGCCAACAUGUAAUAAAGAGUCUUUUGCCUUUUAGAUUUUAUGAGAAUCAGCGGUAAUGAUGGUGCGCCACUUGGUCCGACACGUGGGUGAAUCCAAUCUAAUCAAUGUAAUGACCUGCAGAGAAUAAACCUUGUAUCUGCUGCUGUCUACACACCCGGUGCAAGAUUUCAUAUAUUGAGUGUUUUUAGCCUUACAACACUGUUUUUAAAAGACUGUUUAUAAGUGACUGCCACUUCAGGAGCAGUGACGCUCCAGUGGCUAACACACUGCCUUCUGGAAACACUCAAGACCCCUGCUAUCUCUUUCCUUGGACAAACAGGAUGAAAUGUUUACAGUCUCCUCGCUGAGCAGCCACUGUCACCACUGUCUCGCUGUGCCUUCAGAUUACGUCUCUCUGUGGCCCCGGGAUUGAGUUUCAACAAUCACAGUGUGAUCAUCUGACUGAAGAGAGGAUUACCUGCUUUGAUAAUAGGAACCCAUGCCUUACACAUUGCACAGCCAGCACUGGUGCAAAUUUAAGCUUGCAG